rnacentral:rRNA from 1 species
UACAUAGGGCGCAAGCGUUGUCCGGAAUUAUUGGGCGUAAAGAGCUCGUAGGCGGCUUGUCACGUCGGGUGUGAAAGCCCGGGGCUUAACCCCGGGUCUGCAUUCGAUACGGGCAGGCUAGAGUGUGGUAGGGGAGAUCGGAAUUCCUGGUGUAGCGGUGAAAUGCGCAGAUAUCAGGAGGAACACCGGUGGCGAAGGCGGAUCUCUGGGCCAUUACUGACGCUGAGGAGCGAAAGCGUGGGGAGCGAACAGG